rnacentral:rRNA from 1 species
CCUACGGGAGGCAGCAGUGGGGAAUAUUGGACAAUGGGCGAAAGCCUGAUCCAGCCAUGCCGCGUGUGUGAAGAAGGCCUUCGGGUUGUAAAGCACUUUCAGUGGGGAAGAAAGCCUUGGGGCUAAUACCCUCGAGGAAGGACAUCACCCACAGAAGAAGCACCGGCUAACUCCGUGCCAGCAGCCGCGGUAAUACGGAGGGUGCGAGCGUUAAUCGGAAUUACUGGGCGUAAAGCGCGCGUAGGCGGUCUGAUAAGCCGGUUGUGAAAGCCCCGGGCUCAACCUGGGAACGGCAUCCGGAACUGUCAGGCUAGAGUGCAGGAGAGGAAGGUAGAAUUCCCGGUGUAGCGGUGAAAUGCGUAGAGAUCGGGAGGAAUACCAGAGGCGAAGGCGGCCUUCUGGACUGACACUGACGCUGAGGUGCGAAAGCGUGGGUAGCAAACAGGAUUAGAUACCCCGGUAGUC